rnacentral:rRNA from 1 species
GACGAACGCUGGCGGCGUGCCUAAUACAUGCAAGUUGAGCGCUGAAGGUUGGUACUUGUACCAACUGGAUGAGCAGCGAACGGGUGAGUAACGCGUGGGGAACCUGCCUUUGAGCGGGGGACAACAUUUGGAAACGAAUGCUAAUACCGCAUAAAAACUUUAAACACAAGUUUUAAGUUUGAAAGAUGCAAUUGCAUCACUCAAAGAUGAUCCCGCGUUGUAUUAGCUAGUUGGUGAGGUAAAGGCUCACCAAGGCGAUGAUACAUAGCCGACCUGAGAGGGUGAUCGGCCACAUUGGGACUGAGACACGGCCCAAACUCCUACGGGAGGCAGCAGUAGGGAAUCUUCGGCAAUGGACGAAAGUCUGACCGAGCAACGCCGCGGGAGUGAAGAAGGUUUUCGGAUCGUAAAACUCUGUUGGUAGAGAAGAACGUUGGUGAGAGUGGAAAGCUCAUCAAGUGACGGUAACUACCCAGAAAGGGACGGCUAACUACGUG